GGGGAAUUUUCCGCAAUGGGCGCAAGCCUGACGGAGCAACGCCGCGUGAGGGAGGAAUGCCUGUGGGUUGUAAACCUCUUUUCUCAGGGAAGAAGUUCUGACGGUACCUGAGGAAUCAGCAUCGGCUAACUCCGUGCCAGCAGCCGCGGUAAGACGGAGGAUGCAAGCGUUAUCCGGAAUUAUUGGGCGUAAAGCGUCCGUAGGCGGUUUGUAAAGUCUGCUGUCAAAGCUCACAGCUCAACUGUGAAUCGGCAGUGGAAACUAAUAGACUAGAGAGUGGUAGGGGUAGAGGGAAUUCCUAGUGUAGCGGUGAAAUGCGUAGAUAUUAGGAAGAACACCAGUGGCGAAGGCGCUCUACUGGGCCAUUACUGACGCUGAUGGACGAAAGCUAGGGGAGCGAAAGGGAUUAGAUACCCCUGUAGUC
rnacentral:rRNA from 1 species